AUUGAACGCUGGCGGUAUGCUUAACACAUGCAAGUCGAACGGUAGCAGGCCUUCGGGCGCUGACGAGUGGCGGACGGGUGAGUAACGCGUAGGAAUCUGCCUCAUAGUGGGGGACAACGUGGGGAAACUCACGCUAAUACCGCAUACGCCCUACGGGGGAAAGAGGGGGACCUUCGGACCUCGCGCUAUGAGAUGAGCCUGCGUUAGAUUAGCUAGUUGGUAGGGUAAAGGCCUACCAAGGCGACGAUCUAUAGCUGGUCUGAGAGGACGAUCAGCCACACUGGGACUGGGACACGGCCCAGACUCCUACGGGAGGCAGCAGUGGGGAAUAUUGGACAAUGGGCGCAAGCCUGAUCCAGCAAUACCGCGUGUGUGAAGAAGGCCUUAGGGUUGUAAAGCACUUUCAAUUGGGAGGAAAACCUACCGGUCAAUACCCGGUAGCUUGACAUUACCUUUAGAAGAAGCACCGGCUAACUACGUGCCAGCAGCCGCCGUAAUAC
rnacentral:rRNA from 1 species